rnacentral:rRNA from 1 species
UACGAAGGGGGCUAGCGUUGCUCGGAAUCACUGGGCGUAAAGCGCGCGUAGGCGGCUCGGCAAGUCGGGCGUGAAAUGCCGGGGCUCAACCCCGGGACUGCGUCCGAUACUGGCAGGCUUGAAUUCGGGAGAGGGAUGUGGAAUUCCGGGUGUAGUGGUGAAAUGCGUAGAGAUCCGGAGGAACACCAGAGGCGAAGGCGGCAGCCUGGCACGUUACUGACGCUCAUACACGAAAGCAUGGGGAGCGAACGGG